AUUGAACGCUGGUGGCAGGCCUAACACAUGCAAGUCGAGCGGAGCGGCGGACGGGUGAGUAAUGCCUAGGAAUCUGCCUGGUAGUGGGGGAUAACGUCCGGAAACUGUAGCUAAUACCGCGUACCAUAGGAUGAGCCCAAGUGGGAUUAGGAAGUUGGUGAGGUAAAGGCUCACCAAGCCGACGAUCUCUAGCUGGUCUGAGAGGAUGACCAGCCACACUGGGACUGAGAAACGGCCCAGACUCCUACGGGGGGCAGCAGUGGGGAAUAUUGCGCAAUGGGGGCAACCCUGACGCAGCCAUGCCGCGUGAAUGAAGAAGGCCUUCGGGUUGUAAAGCACUUUAAGUUGGGAGGCGUUACCAACAGAAUAAGCACCGGCUAACUUCGUGCCAGCAGCCGCGGUAAUUC
rnacentral:rRNA from 1 species